GUCCACGCCGUAAACUAUGAUUACUCGUUCUCGGGACCAUUGGUUUCGGGACUAAGCGAAGUGAUAAGUAAUCCACCUGGGGAGUACGAUCGCAAGGUUGAAACUCAAAGGAAUUGACGGGGGCCCGCACAAGCGGUGGAGCAUGUGGUUUAAUUCGAUGAUACGCGAGGAACCUUACCAGGGCUUAAAUGCAGAACGAAUGUUGUGGAACAUGACAGUCUUCGGACGGUCUGCAAGGUGCUGCAUGGCUGUCGU
rnacentral:rRNA from 1 species